UACGUAGGGGGCAAGCGUUGUCCGGAAUCAUUGGGCGUAAAGGGCGCGUAGGCGGCUUGUCAAGUCACUUGUGAAAUCUCUGGGCUUAACCCAGAACGGCCAAGUGAAACUGACAUGCUAGAGUGCAGAAGGGGCAAUCGGAAUUCUUGGUGUAGCGGUGAAAUGCGUAGAUAUCAAGAGGAACACCUGAGGUGAAGACGGGUUGCUGGGCUGACACUGACGCUGAGGCGCGAAAGCCAGGGGAGCAAACGGG
rnacentral:rRNA from 1 species